AGAAUCAACGCUGGCGGCGUGCCUAACACAUGCAAGUCGCACGAGAAAGGGUAGCAAUACCUGAGUACAGUGGCGCACGGGUGAGUAACACGUGAAUUAUCUACCUCCGAGUGGGAAUAACUGAGAGAAAUCUUAGCUAAUACCGCAUAACACUUACGAGUCAAAGCAGCAAUGCGCUUGGAGAGGAGUUCGCGGCAGAUUAGUUAGUUGGCGGGGUAAUGGCCCACCAAGACGAUGAUCUGUAUCCGGCCUGAGAGGGCGCACGGACACACUGGAACUGAAACACGGUCCAGACUCCUACGGGAGGCAGCAGUGGGGAAUUUUGCGCAAUGGGGGAAACCCUGACGCAGCAACGCCGCGUGGAGGAUGAAAUAUCUUGGUAUGUAAACUCCUUUCGAUGGGGAAGAUUAUGACGGUACCCAUAGAAGAAGCCCCGGCUAACUUCGUGCCAGCAGCCGCGGUAA
rnacentral:rRNA from 1 species